AUUGAACGCUGGCGGCAUGCUUUACACAUGCAAGUCGAACGGUAACAGGUUAAGCUGACGAGUGGCGAACGGGUGAGUAAUGCAUCGGAACGUGCCCGGUCGUGGGGGAUAACGCAGCGAAAGCUGCGCUAAUACCGCAUACGAUCUGAGGAUGAAAGCGGGGGACCGUAAGGCCUCGCGCGAUCGGAGCGGCCGAUGUCAGAUUAGGUAGGUGGUGGGGUAAAGGCUCACCAAGCCGACGAUCUGUAGCUGGUCUGAGAGGACGACCAGCCACACGGGGGCGGAGACACGGCCCAGACUCCAACGGGAGGCAGCAGUGGGGAAUUUUGGACAAUGGGCGCAAGCCUGAUCCAGCAAUGCCGCGUGCAGGAAGAAGGCCUUCGGGUUGUAAACUGCUUUUGUACGGAGCGAAAAGGCUCUCUCUAAUACAGGGGGCUCAUGACGGUACCGUAAGAAUAAGCACCGGCUAACUACGUGCCAGCCGCCGCCGUAA
rnacentral:rRNA from 1 species